rnacentral:rRNA from 1 species
UACAGGAGGUCUCAAGCUGUUCGGUUCGGAUUUCAUUUGGGGCGUAAAAGGGUGCGUAGGCGGCUGCGGUAAGUCGGGUCGUGAAAACUCUCGGAGCUUAACUCCGGUAACUGGCAUUCGAUGCGUGCCGUGCUUGAGGGACUGGAGUGAGGAGACUGGAAUUUACGGUAGUAGCGGUGAAAUGCGUAGAUAGUCGGAUAAGGAAC